CUCAGUCUAGGCUGUAUCGCAGGGAGUGCAGUGUCAUAGUAAGACUCCUGAUUUGGCAGCAGAAGGAGCAUAGGUCUCAUUGUGUCUACCACUUUCUCAAUAUGGAACCUUGAUGACAUCCACUCUCUGAGUGCUGGUUUUCUCACCUGUAAAUUCACUCAUGCUGGAGUUUCAGCUGCACUUUCCAUUCUUCAUCCUGCCUAGUGCCCCAGCUGGAUGACCCAUAUGGGAUGCAUUAACAGUUCCUUUGUCCUCCAUUCUUCUGUUGGAUUUGGCCAGUACCAGCCAUUGACUUAGCUCUCCUAAUCUAGUUUCUCACUUGGAGAAAUGAAACAUAAAUCUAAUCCUUGGAUUUCUCAGAAGCACAGUCAUCUUCCCAAAUGAAAAUCUCGGUAUAAUAAAAAAGACAAAUAACAACAAAUGUUGGCAAGGAUAUGGAGAACCAGAAACAUCAUAUACAGUUGUUUUCAGGUCUGUUUCAAUAGACAAAGGAGGAUGCGAAGGUUGCCUGCAAUCAUUUCAGGGUACUGGUGCCACCAAGUGGUGUCUAGAGCAAUUGUCGAUGGCAUAAAUUACCCCAGGAGCGACAGAGCGUCUUGGUUUACCAAUGCCUUCCUUGCAUGACAAUGAGCAGAAUGUGGGAAGCUCCAGUUAUUUCUGGACUGAAGUGCAUGUCUGUGAUCCUGGCACUCACAUAAACAGAAAGUAUAAGAAAUGGAUAGAGAACAAACAGCUCUUGCCCUAGAAUUUGUGCUCUCUUUGGUUUGUCUUGCUGGCAGGUGUUCUGCUAUGCUUAACAUUCACCCAUCAAGUCUUGAAAUGUGUACAAUUAUGUGUAGUUACUUGGACUAGCUUUAUAACUGGUAUGACUUUAAUGGCUUGAUCUCUUAUAUUGGUUUUAUCUUUUUAUUGUUAUUAUCCUUGUCUUGUCCAUCAUUAUUCCUCUCCUAGUGCCUUAUAAACACCCUCACUUUCCUAGGCUCAGUCUCGCCUUCCUCCCAUCCAGCCAUAACCCACUUCUAUACUAAGCUUCUUGAAUUUCUGAUCAUUUAAUAACAUGAUUCAAAAACCUUAAAUUGUUUCUUCCUCCCCACUGGCAAGUCUUGCCUCAGCAAAGCUUUCCUGAGUAACCACAAUGACUCUAUUUGCCCUAAAUGGUCCCUCUUUACUUUUGCUACCCAAAUGUAAUUACUAUGACUUUACUCAAUCUUGAAAAAGUGCCCUGGUUUGGAUGAUGCACUAUAUAGAUACUCCAGCUCUUACCCAUUUGGUUUGCCUUGUCUUAUGUACAAUAAAUAAUCUAAGAGAAGAAUGUACAAACUUUGUGGAAAUAUUGGAUUGAGGUAGGGAGGGCUCAUAUCUAAAGGAGAACAUGUGUAUCUGAAAUUAUUUGAAAUAUAUCAACCCAUUU